rnacentral:rRNA from 1 species
AUUGAACGCUGGCGGCGUGCUUAACACAUGCAAGUCGAUCGGUAACAGGUGUAGCAAUACAUGCUGACGAGAGGCGGACGGGUGAGGAAUAUUUGGGAAUCUGCCCAUCAGCGGGGGACAACCCGGGGAAACUCGGGCUAAUACCGCAUACGCUCUACGGAGGAAAGCCGGGGACCGCAAGGCCUGGCACUGAUGGAUGAGCCCAAAUCGGAUUAGCUAGUUGGCGGGGUAACGGCCCACCAAGGCGACGAUCCGUAGCUGGUCUGAGAGGACGAUCAGCCACACCGGAACUGAGACACGGUCCGGACUCCUACGGGAGGCAGCAGUGGGGAAUAUUGGACAAUGGGGGAAACCCUGAUCCAGCGACGCCGCGUGGGUGAAGAAGGCCUGCGGGUUGUAAAGCCCUUUCGGUAGGGAAGAAAUCUCUUGUCUUAACACGGCAAGGGUUUGACUUAACCUACAUAAGAAGCACCGGCUAACUCUGUGCCAGCAGCCGCCGUAACAC